GUGCUCACUUUGGCAGCACAUAUACUAAAAUUAGAACGAUACAGAGAAGAUUAGCAUGGCCCUUGUGCAAGGAUGACAUGCAAAUUCGUGAAGCGUUCCAUGUUUUU
rnacentral:snRNA from 1 species